GUAAUUAUUUUUAAUCUUUUUAUCCGGUUUAGUCUGCCUUUUGCAUCAUGCUUAGUGGAUUUUUAUGAAUAAAUUUCUUUAACCGAAAGCUUUGGAUUUCAAGUUUAGUUGUUUAGAACGUUAAAAUCGGGUAGAUAAAAAUUUAAACUUUUCUUGUGCUGUGAUAAAUUAAUCGUCGGGGUUUAUAACUGUUUUUCGGCUAUUAAUUUUAAAUUACUUGUUUGGUUAGGAGAUCCAUCAAGUUUAUACAUUUUUUUUUAUUUUUUUUUUAAUAAGGUUAAAAAUACCUUUUUCUUAAGAGUUUGUUAAAAGUUUUAUUAAAUUUAUAUAGAAUUAUUUUUAUUGGUCGUUUAUAUUAUAAUCAUUAGUUUUACUUAUUACUAAAUAAGUAAUUUAAGUAUAUCUAAUUGUUUCUCAAGUUUUUCCUGUCUGUUUAUUAAAAACAUUUCCAUAUUAUAAAUUUUAUGGUAGUGCCUGCUCUAUGUUAAUAUAAAUGGCCGCAGUAUCUUGACUGUGCGAAGGUAGCAUAAUUAAUUGCCUUAUAAUUGAAGGCUUGUCUGAAUGGUUUGACAAGGUAAAUACAAACAUUUAGUAUUUUUUUGAAAUUAAUAAUGAGGGCACAGAAUCCUCUUUAAUUAAUUAGACGGAAAGACCCCGGGAUCUUUAUUUUUUGUCUGGGGCAGAUUAAAGUUUUUUAUUAAAUUUAAGACCCUUAAAAAAGUUUAGUGAGUUAAGUUACCCCGGGGAUAACAGUGUAAUAGUUUACUAGAGGCCUUAUCGAAUAAACUGUUUGCUACCUCGAUGUUGACUUAGGUAAAUAGAUUAGGCGCAGUAGUCUAAUUUUUGGGUCUGUUCGACCUUAUGUACCUCCAUGAGUUGAGUUAAGACCGGCGUGAGCCAGGUCGGUUCUUAUCUAUUAUUGUGAUUUAUUAGUACGAAAGGAUUGUAAAUUGUUUUUUU
rnacentral:rRNA from 1 species